rnacentral:tRNA from 2 species
CCUUCGAUAGCUCAGUUGGUAGAGCGGUGGACUGUAGCGGUGAGCGCGCACACAUGGGCGCACACAUAGUUAUCCAUAGGUCACUGGUUCAAAUCCGGUUCGAAGGA